UUUGCCAGGUAACAAGCCCACCUCCUUCUGUGCCCAGGCCUCAUCGUCCCUCUGACAGAUAGCAAGGAUUUCUUGGCUCUGAGAGAAACUUCUGACCCUCCUCAGCAUGAAGCAGCUACAGAAGAAAUCCAAUGCCCAUUUUCUCUGAACGAAUUCAGAGCCAGGAUCCUUAAGACAAGGGGACUCCCCAGAAGCAAGAGGGAACUAGGCUGCAGAUGAAGCAGUCCAGGAGGACUAAAACCAGUGGGGCCUUUACAGAUUCUAGUGACUCUUCCAGAUCCUGAACUACUCAUCUCACCAGUUUACUCAAGUUCUUUCAGGCUUUACAGUCUACCCAGAAAGCAGACCAGAAGCAAGUCCGAGAUGCUCUGCCUGUAUCUAGUUCGUCCCUUCCAACCUGGUAACUCUGUUUGGGUAAAGAAAUUUACCACACAAGGACUGACUCCUGCCUGGAAAGGACCACUCCCACCGCAGUCAAGGUCGACGGGAUCCUGAUGUGGCUUCAUCACACCUGGCUUAAGACAGCUUAAUAAAGGCUCUUAAAUUUAAA